ensembl:snoRNA
GAGCGAUGAUGUCAAACCGCUGAACCUGAAGUGUUUUCUUACAGAAACACGCCAUGAGGGUUUCUACACUUGAACUGAGCUCA